rnacentral:ncRNA from 1 species
GUCUUCCAAAUAGACUCAAGAACAUAAACGCCUCCGAGAUCUAUGUAUCGAACUUGCAAUGAUGGAAUUUCUCACUUGUAAGUGCAGGCAAAUGAGGAAUUUCAGUGCAAGGGC